CCUACGGGAGGCAGCAGUGGGGAAUAUUGGGCAAUGGGCGCAAGCCUGACCCAGCAAAGCCGCGUGAAGGAAGAAGGCUUUCGGGUUGUAAACUUCUUUUAAUGGGGAAGAGCAGAAGACGGUACCCCUUGAAUAAGCCACGGCUAACUACGUGCCAGCAGCCGCGGUAAUACGGAGGUGGCAAGCGUUGUCCGGAUUUACUGGGUGUAAAGGGCGUGCAGCCGGAGAGACAAGUUAGAUGUGAAAUUCACGGGCUCAAACCGUGAACUGCAUUUGAAACUGUCGCCCUUGAGUGUCGGAGAGGUAAGCGGAAUGCGUGGUGUAGCGGUGAAAUGCGUAGAUAUAAGGAAGAACACCAGUGGCGAAGGCGGAUUACUGGACGAUAACUGACGGUGAGGCGCGAAAGCGUGGGGAGCAAACAGGAUUAGAUACCCCUGUAGUC
rnacentral:rRNA from 1 species